rnacentral:rRNA from 1 species
GAUGAACGCUGGCGGCGUGCCUAAUACAUGCAAGUCGAGCGAACAGACGAGGAGCUUGCUCCUCUGACGUUAGCGGCGGACGGGUGAGUAACACGUGGAUAACCUACCUAUAAGACUGGGAUAACUUCGGGAAACCGGAGCUAAUACCGGAUAAUAUAUUGAACCGCAUGGUUCAAUAGUGAAAGACGGUUUUGCUGUCACUUAUAGAUGGAUCCGCGCCGCAUUAGCUAGUUGGUAAGGUAACGGCUUACCAAGGCAACGAUGCGUAGCCGACCUGAGCGGGUGGUCGGCCACACGGGAUGUGAGACACGGUACAGACUCCUACGGGAGGCCGCAGUAGAGAAUCUUCCGCAAUGGGCGAAAGCCUGACGGAGCAACGCCGCGUGAGUGAUGAAGGUCUUCGGAUCGUAGAACUCUGUUAUUAGGGAAGAAGAAAUGUGUAAGUAACUAUGCACGUCUUGACGGUACCUAAUCAGAAAGCCACGGCUAACUACGUG